CACGGGGUUGCACACGCCAACGAGGUACCUGCAACUAUCGACACUAUCGAUACAUACACGGCAUCUCAUACAACACAUGAAUAUCGACAAUCGCAACCUACGGGUCUACGCCGAAGAACGGUCGGCUCACGGGACGGUCGCACGUUAUACCUUCGACUCGUUGCGGCGUCGCGUGGUAGACGAAGUAGUCGACGUAGAGGAAGUAGUCGUACGGGCGAGGUAGUCGUACACGUGGUCGACGUAGUCCAAGUAGUUGUUCACGUAGGCGACGUAGUCGUUCACGAUGUAGCCAUCGUAGGCGAAGUAGUCGUUCAAUCGUCGCGGUCGUAGUCGUUCAUGGCUCCGACUCAGAGGUUCGUCGGUCUUCACGGCGCACGGCAAGGUCUUGGGCAGCGGCACGGCGAAGCACACGCGGAGCGGCAGCAACAACGGUACAACAGUGAGCACACGAAGGUG
rnacentral:lncRNA from 1 species